AUGACCACUGGCUCUCACGGUGGCUGGGAACCCUGGCGGGGAGGCCUGCGCCUCCUCAAGCUCCAGUCCCUCUGGAUGGGGCACCAAGAGGCACCCUGAGAACUCAGAGGACCCAGAGGCUCCCCUCAAGCAAAUUCCCUGCUGACCCUGGACACCCCUUGAAGGAGGGGGCAAGAGGCUGCCACAAGGCUCAUCUUAUAACUCCCAGCAAGGACUCCCAGCAAACAAGAGACCCACAUCACUCAGUUCCCAGGACACCUGGUGGGAGAGUCUGAGUUGUGUUCUCACCACCCACUUUGUCGGCGGAGGAGAAACACUGCUGCCUGAUGCUUGCACUGCUGCACUGUUCUUGCACCUGCUCCUAGCCCUGAACUCGGGCCCUGAGCUCCUCACUGCCGCCCGCUCUGCGCUGAGCCCCACUCCUGAGACCGCGAGGUGCCAGAGCAGCGCCUCUCCCACCAACUCCUAGACGCCUGUAGGAGCUGCGCCGGAGCCUUCAGAACCCCAUGGGGGUGUGGGGGUGAAGUUGGAGGUCAUCCGGGGCUUUCCGCCUGCACACAGUCAUUUGGAGAAAAUCAAGUGAGUGCACUUCUCCCCACAGAGGAUUCUGUAUGUUAUGUAACACACUCACACUGGGAUUCCUCAAGUUACCAUUUUGCCCCAACUCAGCCAGCACUUGGUUUUCUGGCGGGGGUGUCAGGAUGAUGCAAAUGGAGGUGGAAGCUUCAUUCCCUGGGGGCUUUUAUUCCCCUCCUUGAAGCCCCAGUUCAAGGCCCAGGAACAAAGGGGAAAGGUAACUGAUCUCUCUUUUGGUCUUUCUCUCCCCUCACUUCCACCCCUUCACCUGCAGGCCCUCCUCUUUGAUAAAUAGAGGAAAGCCCGUGGGAUCAGGUACAUAUGUAAAUACUGCUGACCUCGGCCGCCCCUCCUCACCGAAAAGCAGAAAGCCCGUUUCAGGUGCAGGCUGCUCCGUGCCUUUGAGUGUCCACCACUUCUAUUCCCCCAGACUGCUUGGGACUCAAGGCCACUCACUUAAUACCCGUCUCUUGUUAAAAACAUUCAGGACAACUAUUAAAUAGUUAUUGGAAGAGUUAAAGACCUUCUUUCAGGAGUGAAACGUUUUUAAAGCUGUGCUUGGCAUAAGUCUUUAAGGCGUACAAAGUAGAAUCAGUAGACUUGCCUGAGCGAUUUUGAAAUUUGAAAGAUUUCUCCCCAUGAAAUGGUAAUUUAAAAUAGUUUGUAGAUGUUGUUUUGUUCUGUGAUGGCUUUUUCACCAUUGUCACCUAAAGAUUCUCAAGACCAAGCUACUAAGACAUUUCAUUUGGUUAGUUUCUGGGUGAUACUGUGCUUUCUGAUUAGACCUAUUUAAUUUAUUUUUAACUCUGCAGGAGAGUUUUCAACCUUGGAAAUGUAAGUGAAACACAGACUCACCCUCCUUCUGAGACCUUGAUAGGGGCAGAAAGGAACAAAUCUGGCUAGCCCCCCUCACACCUGGAAGUUUCCCUGUCUAAACCUGGGUACAAUGAGCGUGGUGGGUUUUGUCACCUUUUAUUUUAUUGCUGGCUCAAGGAAAAUUCUUUGAAAUGAACAUCUAUUCUAUUUCAGUGUGCAAUGUUCCAGCCGACUUAAUGGGCUUGCCUUAUGCGGAGAGGCAGUCCUGCAGGACAGAGCUAAUGUGUGGUCUCCCAGGAAGCUCAUCAGAACACCUCUUGUCCCUUUUCUUUAAAAGAAAAAAAAUUUAAAAAGUUUUUGCUUCCAUCUCAAUGUCCAUUCCAUUAUUUUGUAGCUACAAUAAAGAAACAUGGGCAGCAGUGAUCAUUCUUUUUGUCCUAUGUAAUCAUGUCUAGUGUUAGGACCUUACAAAGCUCCAGACAUACCUCAGGUGUAUUCUGCACUUUUCAUAUUUAUUCACUGCUCACUGGGUCACACAGAUGAUUCACACUUGAUUCCACCUUCCUCUGGACAACUCUCCCUCAAACAACACCCCUCUAUCAACUUAUAGGGAAAGGAGAUUCACUUAGAGAAAACUUCUUGAAUUAAAGACCAGACUCAGUUUCGCCAGGUAACUAAUCCUGGCAUACCGGUGACUAGGAAGUCAUCACCUAACACUCUACCUAGAUAUAAACUCUCAGGAAGGAGGCAGGCCGGUGGGGACAUUUCCACAGACAUUUCUAAAACUGUGGCAAUUGAGUAUAUUUUACAGAUACAAUUUUGGUAGAUUCCCAUCCAGCUUAAGACAUUUAAAAUGCAAUUUUGUUCACACGCAUGUGCGCGCACACAGACACACACGCACGUGUCAACUAGGGUGAUAUUAACAGUCCAUUUCCACUGGGCAAUUCUGUGACAGCAACUACAACUAACAAACUUCUUUUCUGAAGAGUAAAAAAGAAAACAAAAGCCUCUCCAUCUAUUUUAAAAGGUUAUUUUAUAUUGUUUAGCAUUCUUUCGAAACAGGAAUUGGCUGGACACUUCUCCCUUUUCAAAGAUCAGGUAAACUACUCUCCCACCCACCUCCUCCCCAAGACCAAGCCAUUUUUUAAAGCAAAAAUUCUGUUUCCAAAGGAAGAAAAAUGAACAAAUUCCAUUAAUGAAUUACAUACAUGGAAUGUGGCUUGUCUAGGACAUUUGUAUUUGUAAAUAAAUGGCUCCCUGUUUAUUAUGUAUGUUUUACUGGAAAAAAAACCAACUCUAAUGCCUCUGAGCAUGUUAUAAUACAGCAAAUAUUUCCACUUAUGGUUUCAGUUCCACUGUUUCUUGGUACUCACUAGAAAGAAAUCGGGUUACAUGGAGUCAGUUGUGGGGUUUAAGCGUCCAGGCUGACUUGGGGACGCGGCACCUCUAAAGUUCUCAUGUUUGCCAAAGUGCGGGGGGAAGGGGGAAUGGCUCCUAGGAAUCUUAUGGGGAUUAAUCUGGGGUUUCGCCUUUGUCCCGGGAUCUUUCUAAGGCUCACCACGGCCUCCGUCUGCAGCUUCAGAAGCGAAGCCGGCGUGCGAUCUCCUUGGCGGGCGGACUGGGCACAGUCCCUGCCUUGCCCUGCUGCCGGCGCCCGCACACCGCGGUCUCAGGAUCUCCCCGCAGGCCUAGGCCUGCAGUCCUCGGGCGGAGACGGGGCCUGGGGGAGCGACCCUCACCGGGCCAGGCACAGGCAGUUUACCCUGGUGCCUGUAGGGUGCUCGAGUUUCCCACACGCGGGAAGCGGAGGCGUGGGCCAAGCGCCGGGGGCUGCCCAAGAACUCCACCGCCCCGUGCGGCGCGCAGGGCCUGGCGGCGCGAAACUUCCACAAAGCCGCCGGCCGCCUCCGGCCUUGCCUCCACUCCGCAGUCCCAGCUGCCUAGACCUCGGUGUCUUCCCAGACAAUGAGCCCUGCCAGUGCACUAGGCUGUUCCGCUCUGACUUCUUCUGCCCGCACAUGGGGACCCGAGCGAAAGGUUAUGGGUUGGAACAAGUCAGCGCAUCUCCUUCCACGCGCCGCAUCCUUCGGGAAGACAAACAGACCCUGCAGAAAGUUAUCGCCAGAACCUCUGGAACCUGAGCCGACUCCAGCCUCCAGCAACUCCCUCAACCUUCCAGGGAAACUUUCAGAAGUUUCCCUUUCCUUCGCUCCUCAAUUCCUUGGACUUUCUCCAGCCCCCAGGUUUGCUCAUUACUCUGCUGACUGCCCUUUAGUCUCUAGGGCUCCACAGGCCUGAGCGUUUCCAGAAUAAUAAUAAUAAUAAUAAUAAUAAUAAUAAUAAUAAUAAUAAUAAUUGUUAUUAUGAGGCUGGGGAAGAACAGGAUCAGAGGGUAGGAGGGACUGAGGGAGAGAGUGGACAUGUUUAUGAAAAGGUUUAUUUAAACCUGUGUUUCAAAAGGGUUCAGUUGACAAUUAUCAGUAACCCCGAUAGACAACUCCAUUAAAAAAAAAAAGAAUUUACUAUUGCUCUUGAAAGCCGUUAUUUUUUCCAUCGCUUUUUAGGAAGAUAGAUGAACAAAACAUCGCGUUUCAAGCCAUUUUGAUCUGUAAUUGAAAGGCAGGAUCGGUUUGUAUUCUCCUACGGCUUUUACAGAAGUUGCAGUGAUCCAAAGUCGGGUUGCUGUGUCAGAGUGGCAUUUUUAUUAAUGAGAAUACAAAAAGCUUGCAUAUUCUUAGCCCUGCUUGAAUUUAGUUGCUAAGCAACGGGUGUAUGGUAAUUCAUCCGCGAAAUUUAAAUCUUUGAGAAAGGUUCGUGCGUUUUGCUGAAUGGUCGCCACGAGGAAAACAACUUGUGGGACCCACAGCAGCUGCCACAGUCUGGCCGCCCGGCCGUGCCGGGCCGAGCAGGGACCCGGCCGCCCCACCGCGACCGCCACCGCC
rnacentral:lncRNA from 1 species